GCAUUAAUGGAGUGGUGGUAACCUUGGUCGUUGUCAUCGACCAGCCACAAGUUCAAUUCUUGCUUAAUGCA